UCCGUAGGCGGGUCAUUAAGUCAGAGGUGAAAUCCCACAGCUUAACUGUGGAACUGCCUUUGAUACUGAUGGUCUUGAGUUUUAGUGAAGUAGAUAGAAUGUGUAGUGUAGCGGUGAAAUGCUUAGAUAUUACACAGAAUACCGAUUGCGAAGGCAGUCUACUAACUAACAACUGACGCUAAUGGACGAAAGCGUGGGGAGCGAACAGGAUUAGAUACCCUGGUAGUC
rnacentral:rRNA from 1 species